AUUGAACGCUAGCGGCAUGCCUAACACAUGCAAGUCGAACGCGUGGCGGACGGGUGAGUAAUAUAUCGGAACCUGCCCGGUGGAGGGGGAUAACUACUCGAAACGGUGGCUAAUACCGCAUACUAUUGGAUCUGCCGAGAUAGGAUUAUCUAGUUGGUGGGGUAAAGGCUCACCAGGGCGACGAUCCGUAGCUGGUCUGAGAGGAGGAACGGAGGAGCUGGAAUUGAGACACGGUCCGAAUUCCUAGAGGAGGAAGCAGUGGGGAAUAUGGGACAAUGGGGGCAAGCCUGUUGCAGCAAUGCCGCGUGUAUGAAGAAGGCCUUCUGGUUGGAGAGUAAUUUCGGCAGAGAAGCUGUGUCCGCAGAAGAAGCACCGGAUAACUACGUGCCAGCAGCCGCGGUAAUGC
rnacentral:rRNA from 1 species